GAUGAACGCUGGCGGCGUGCCUAAUACAUGCAAGUCGAGCGAACAGACGAGGAGCUUGCUCCUCUGACGGUAGCGGCGGACGGGUGAGGAACAUGUGGAUAACCUACCUAUAAGACUUGGAUAACUUUGGGAGACGGGAGCUAAGACCGGAUAAUAUAUUGAACCGCAUUGUGCAAUAGUGAAAGACGGUUUUGCUGGCACUAAUAGCUGGAUCAGCCGCGCAUUAGCAAGUUGGUAAGGUAACGGCUUACCAAGGCAGCGAGGCUGAGCCGACCUCAGAGGGUGGUCGCCCACACUGGCACUGAGAAAGAGCCCAGACUCCUGCGGGAGGAAACAGUAGAGAAUCUUACGCAAUGGACGAAAGCGUGACAGAGCAACACCGCGUGAGUGCUGAACGUCUUCUGCUGGUAAAACUCUGUUAUUCGGGAGGAACAAAUGUGUAAGUAACUAUGCACGUAUUGACGGUACCUGAUGAGAAAGCCACGGCUAACUACGUG
rnacentral:rRNA from 1 species